UUGCUGAGUCAAAUGAGCCACCCCUGAAGAAAUAAUAGCUUAAUAACGCAGAGAAACUCGAUUCUCAUGCAAAAAUAAGGAAUCACAGCUGCACUGAACCGCGGAAGAAGACUGUAGGCAAUGGAAUUACGAGUGAAGGACCUCAACAUCAUCAACCGUCAAAUGGAUUUAGGAAACUCGUACUCUCGAGGAGGAAACUUCAUGGCAAUUGAGCCACAGCCGCAGGCAGUCUUUCGCCGGGUGCAAAUGCAUGCUUCUACCAACGGAUGAUGGGGUCUGACGAUGGAGUUGACGGGAACAUUCGCACAGAAGAGGAAUUUGUGAGGAUUCUGAACCACUCAUUGAGGCCGUGGAGUGUGUUGUUUAAUGAGUAAUACAGCUAACUGCAGUGUUCCACAAGACUGUUACCAGACCUUCAUGGGACCUUUCCGUUCUUUCUGGGUUGUCUUGAGG